UAACGAAUCUUCCGCAAUGCGCGAAAGCGUGACGGAGCAAUGCCGCGUGCAGGAUGAAGCGUCUACGACGUGUAAACUGCUGUCAGGGUUUAGGAAUAAUGACCAGACCCAGAGGAAGGACCGGCUAAUCUUGUGCCAGCAGCCGCGGUAAUACGAGAGGUCCGAGCGUUAAUCAGAAUCACUGGGCUUAAAGCGUACGCAGGCGGACCGGUAGGUAUCUUGUGAAAUCCCACGGCUUAACCGUGGAACUGCAGGGUAAACCACCGGUCUUGAGGCAGGUAGGGGUCAGUGGAACCAUGAGUGGAGCGGUGAAAUGCGUAGAUAUUCAUGGGAACGCCAAUGGCGAAGGCAGCUGACUGGGCCUGUUCUGACGCUCAUGUACGAAAGCGUGGGGAGCAAACAGGAUUAGAUACCCCCGUAGUCC
rnacentral:rRNA from 1 species